rnacentral:rRNA from 1 species
UACAGAGGUCUCAAGCGUUGUUCGGAUUCAUUGGGCGUAAAGGGUGCGUAGGUGGCGCGCUAAGUCAGGUGUGAAAUUUCGGAGCUUAACUCCGAAACUGCAUUUGAUACUGGCGUGCUUGAGGACUGGAGAGGAGACUGGAAUUCACGGUGUAGCAGUGAAAUGCGUAGAUAUCGUGAGGAACACCGGUGGCGAAGGCGGGUCUCUGGGCCGAAAUUGACGCUGAGGAGCGAAAGCGUGGGGAGCAAACAGG